GCCGCUAUCGUCUAAUGGUCAGGACGUCAGGUUCUCAUCCUGGAAAUCGGGGUUCGAUUCCCCGUAGCGGUACCA
rnacentral:tRNA from 1 species